rnacentral:rRNA from 1 species
AGUGAACGCUGGCGGUAGGCCUAACACAUGCAAGUCGAACGGCAGCACAGUAAGAGCUUGCUCUUACGGGUGGCGAGUGGCGGACGGGUGAGGAAUACAUCGGAAUCUACUUUUUCGUGGGGGAUAACGUAGGGAAACUUACGCUAAUACCGCAUACGACCUACGGGUGAAAGCAGGGGAUCUUCGGACCUUGCGCGAUUGAAUGAGCCGAUGUCGGAUUAGCUAGUUGGCGGGGUAAAGGCCCACCAAGGCGACGAUCCGUAGCUGGACUGAGAGGAUGAUCAGCCACACUGGAACUGGACCACGGUCCAGGCUCCUACGGGAGGCAGCAGUGGGGAAUAUUGGACAAUGGGCGCAAGCCUGAUCCAGCCAUACCGCGUGGGUGAAGGAGACCUUCGGGUUGUGAAGCCCUUUUGUUGGGAAAGAAAAGCAGCAGGUUAAUACCCCGCUGUUCUGACGGUACCCAAAGAAUAAGCACCGGCUAACUUCGUG